rnacentral:rRNA from 1 species
AUGUGUGCCAUAUGCCCCGUAGAAACGGUCUUUAGGUCAUUUUCAUGCUCCGAGCUAUAUGACAUUGUAGCUUUGUCUGGAUCCACUUCAUCUUUUGACCCAUAUGUCAUUGUAAGUUUAUUUGUAUACUCUUCAUGGUUUGACCGGUAUGACAUUGUAACUUUAUGUGGAUCUUCUUCUUGUUCUGACCUAUAUGUCAUUGUAACUUUAUUGGGAUCAUCUUCUUGUUCCGACCCAUAUGACAUUGUGACUUUAUGUGGAUCUUCCUCUUGUUCUGACCUAUAUGACAUUGUAACUUUAUUGGGAUCAUCUUCUUGUUCUGACCUAUAUGACAUUGUGACUUUAUGUGGAUCUUCUUCUUGUUCUGACCUAUAUGUCAUUGUAGCUUUAUUGGGAUCAUCUUCUUGUUCUGGCUUAUAUGACAUUGUAAGUCUAUGUGGAUCAUCUUCACCUUGA